AGCGAACGCUGGCGGCAGGCCUAACACAUGCAAGUCGAACGAACCCUUCGGGGUUAGUGGCGGACGGGUGAGUAACACGUGGGAACGUGCCUUUAGGUUCGGAAUAACUCAGGGAAACUUGUGCUAAUACCGAAUGUGCCCUUCGGGGGAAAGAUUUAUCGCCUUUAGAGCGGCCCGCGUCUGAUUAGCUAGUUGGUGAGGUAAUGGCUCACCAAGGCUACGAUCAGUAGCUGGUCUGAGAGGAUGACCAGCCACAUUGGGACUGAGACACGGCCCAAACUCCUACGGGAGGCAGCAGUGGGGAAUCUUGCGCAAUGGGCGAAAGCCUGACGCAGCCAUGCCGCGUGGAUGAUGAAGGUCUUAGGAUUGUAAAAUCCUUUCACCGGUGAAGAUAAUGACUGUAGCCGGAGAAGAAGCCCCGGCUAACUUCGUGCCAGCCGCCGCAGUAACAC
rnacentral:rRNA from 1 species